CGCCAGAAUACUACGAGCAACAGCUUAAAACUCAAAGGACUUGGCGGUGCUCUACACCCCCCUAGAGGAGCCUGUUCUGUAAUCGACAAUCCCCGAUAAACCUCACCAUCUAUUGCUAAUACAGCCUAUAUACCACCGUCCAGCCCACCCUUUAAAGGAGAAAUAGUAGGCACAACUACAUACGUAAAAACGUCAGGUCAAGGUGUAGCAUAUAAGAUGGGAAGAAAUGGGCUACAUUUUUUAACCUAAAAAACACGGAAAAGCCUAUGAAACAAGCUAUAAAGGAGGAUUUAGUAGUAAAAAGAAAAAAGAGUGUUCUUUUUAAACCGGCAAUGGAGCGCGCACACACCGCCCGUCACCCU
rnacentral:rRNA from 1 species